UCCCGGCCCCGAUAGAAAGGGAAAUCUUUUGAUUUUUUCUUUAAAAACCAAAAAAUUGAAGCCGGCAGAGAAAUUA
rnacentral:misc_RNA from 1 species